rnacentral:misc_RNA from 1 species
UUCUGUUCUAUUUUCUCACACAAGGAAUUCUAAGUGUGGACUUAGAAUCUUCUUCCUUUUUCAAUUUCCAGGUAAAUUGCCUUUUGUUAAACCCUAAUUAAUAGUCUCAACUUUUUCAAAUAUCGUUCAUGAAUACUGUUCACAAUACCAAACCUCCAGUGCAAACACCUCCUGAAAUCUGUCCCUUUUUUUGUUUUAUUUUGCUUCUAAUUGUACUCACAAAUUGGAGUUGUCUUUUUAUUCUUUAUAAUUUGCAGAUCAACUCAAACCAGUAUACUCUGUCCUAAAUAGUUCAUCUUGCUAGAAAUCCUACAUCUUUCAAGGUGUUUUUAAUCCAAUUGGAAACUUAUAACGUGACUAUGAUUAAUUAAAUACACUUAACAUGGAGAAUAAUUUGUAUGUUAACUGUAGAUGUGUGCUAUGAUCUUCGAUCAACUUUCUUAUUUGCUUGA